UCNUCCUGGNGGCAGCAGUNGNGAAUANUGNGCAAUGNUCGGAANCCNCGCAGCGNCGCGCGUGGNGGANGAAGNCNUUCGUUGUAANCNCCUUUUGGCUGNGCNCCUUUUUGGGGUGACGGUAGGAGCAGAAGAAGCGCCGGCCAANUACGUGCCAGCAGCCGCGGUAAGACGUAGGGCGCAAGCGUUGUCCGGAUUUAUUGGGCGUAAAGAGCUCGUAGGCGGCCUGUCGCGUCGAUCGUGAAAUUCCCCGGCUCAACUGUGGGAUUGCGGUCGAUACGGGCAGGCUAGAGUGCGGCAGGGGAGACUGGAAUUCCUGGUGUAGCGGUGAAAUGCGCAGAUAUCAGGAGGAACACCGGUGGCGAAGGCGGGUCUUUGGGCCGUUACUGACGCUGAGGAGCGAAAGCGUGGGGAGCGAACAGGAUUAGAUACCCUGGUAGUCCACGCUGUAAACGUUGGGCGCUAGGUGUGGGGACCCUUCCCGGGUUUCUGUGCCGUAGCUAACGCAUNAAGCNCCC
rnacentral:rRNA from 1 species